AGUUUCUAUAUAUAUAGGAGACUGUUAGAAUAUAUCUCAUAUCGAGACUUUGAUAAUUUGUGGAGUAAUAUAUAAGUAUGUUGUAAACUUCUACUUUUGAGGUAGUUUUUGGGUGUGAGUUAGGUUCAUACUAAUAGAAAUUACAAGUCGUCUAUUUUUUUCUGGAGAAUGCCGGCUCUGUUCUUUAGAUCUCCAUCUCGCGCUAGACUUUGUUAAUCUUUGUCGAACUCAUGUGUAACCGUUUUAAUGGGCA
rnacentral:sRNA from 1 species